GGAAAAUCUGGCAAGGAUUUAUACCAGUAUUCAAUUUAGUUCUAUCUGGACAUACCUAUUUUAAUUCUGCCAACAAGACAACUGUUAUUUUGCUUCGUCCGCACGAGAAUGUGAGUCACAAUAGAACAAGUCGCUCAGCCAUGAUAAAACAAUAGCCUCUCGAUCGAUUUCGACCUGAGGGGACCCGUGGUUCUAAAACAAUUUGGGCUUUUCUUAUGUACGUUGAAAACCUCGAAAUGAACAACUCGCUCAAAUGGGCUCUUUUCAUCAAAGUAAGCGGUCAGAUAACAAGCAAUACGCUGUGGAAGCGAGCUGCCCAAACUGAAGUAGAGUAACUUAUUUGCCAAGCACACCGCACCUGUCGGCCGAAGAGGAGAAAGAUGUCAAUUCCGGACUUGUGGGGUGACAAAACAUGGAGAUUUGGGGACAAUUUUAUUUGGACUGGGUCGGUAAAAACCAAUAAUCCAGCCUUCCUCUUGUUAGAGUCGCGAUUAAGUAAUUACUUUGAGGCUCCGAAGGAAGUGAACCACAAAGAAACCAAUGCUACGACGUUAA